AAGGAAAUCCAGGAAGACCCAUGGGACAGAUUACUGUAACUCAGCUCAGAAGACACAGUUCUACUCCUCACUGCAUUUCUGCAGUGGGUUGCAGAAUAAAUUCCUCCAUCUUCCUAAACCUGCUGUAUUCCCCGAAUAAGAUUCAGGUGCAGAAAUUAGGUCCAAACAAUUGGCUACUUGUGAGAACACACACAGAGAUGAAUCAACCUGUACCCUGAACCUGAAGCCAAUACAUACACUUCUGAAGGAAGCAUCCAAAUAACAGAUCUUCCACUUGUUCUACAUACCCAGACACUGAAACUACUCAGAAGUGUGGGGAGGAGAUGUUGAGAAAUCCCUUAUUUAUCGACUCCCGGAAAAUUAGAUUCACAUGUUACGCACGAAUAAGUUUUUCUGAAUACCUGUCUGGUGCGUCACCAGUCGAUGGCUAAGGAUGAGAAAUACCUAACUCUACAGGCGGCAAAGGACAUAUGUGGCAAGGUGUCUGAUGAUGAGAAAUGAAGGAGGAGGCAAAGAAAGGACCAGAUAUUAUGGUAUUAAACACAACAACAGUAGGAAUUGAGCCAUUAUACAUGUAAGCACUGAGACUCACAGGUGCCAAGGAAUCUAUCCAAGGGUCACACACAAAAAUGUGGCAGAUCCAAGACUCAGAUCCAAGUUGAUCAACCUCAAAAUGGGCAUUUAUACCUAAGUAGUUAGAAUUUGCUGUAUUGUAAAAAUCUGGGGCACUUUCUUCAUGAGAACCUCAGGUCAUGAAACAUAAUGGCUAUGCAUUUCCUGGGCUGCAGAGGAAAGAACUAGAUUGAGAACAACCAGUCGUCGCUCAAUGACUAUCUAUUGUACGUGUAGCACUGUUUUCGGUCCUGAACCGAAACAGCAAACCCGAGAGAAAAGAACUGAUAAUCAAGCACAUCGCGCACGUAACAGCCGUGAUCACAAAAUAUUUGUUGAGUUAGUGGAUGAAUGACUGAGCGAAUGCCUAUGUCAAUAUUGUGACCCUUGGACUCUAAGUUUACUAGAAUAUUAACAUAUCUACAUGAUGGGGGACACCUGGGUGGCUCAGGUGGUUAAGCAUCCAACUGUUGGUUUCAGCUCAGAUCAUGAUCUCAUGGUUCAUGAGUUCGAGUCCGCAUCAGGUUCUGCGCUGACAGUGCGGAGCCUGCUUGGGAUUCUUUCUC